rnacentral:lncRNA from 1 species
UCUCAGUCAAGCCAUGAUCUAUAGAAUUCAGUCAGUCAUGUGACUCAGGAAAACUCAGAAAUCUCAGUAGUCCAGUAAUCUCAGUAAUCUCAGUGCUCAGUAACCUCAGCAACCUCAGUAUUCACAGUCAAUCUCAGUGACUUCAAUACUCUCAAAUAGUCCUCAGAACUCAGUACAUUCCGUCAGUCAUUGGAAUCCAAUAAACUUAGUUUAGCUCUGCUAAACAAUACCACUAGUAUCAGUCCAGUUAAUCAGUAUUUGUUCAGCUAAUCAGUUCAGUUCAGUUAUUCA